UACGGAGGGUGCUAGCGUUGUUCGGAAUCAUUGGGCGUAAAGGGCGUGUAGGCGGUCCGCUAAGUCAUGUGUGAAAGCCCCCGGCUUAACCGGGGAAAUGCGCGUGAAACUGACGGACUAGAGUACGGAAGAGGGAGGUGGAAUUCCAGGUGUAGCGGUGAAAUGCGUAGAUAUCUGGAGGAACACCGGUGGCGAAGGCGGCCUCCUGGUCCGAUACUGACGCUGAUACGCGAAAGCGUGGGGAGCAAACAGG
rnacentral:rRNA from 2 species